CAUUAGGACUCCACUUGUGGGUCCCUGUGAACUGUAUGCCUGAAGAGGUCCUCAACUCUGGUGAGUGCUGUAAACCAGUGGGGAAUCAACAGCACUUUAACUGAAAACCUGAUAAUGGUGAGGCUCUCAUCUGUCAAAUUCCCUGUAUCUGCCACGUCAGAAAGGAUGAGAAGGCUGGCCCCUGAGGCCCCAGGAACUGGCACUAGCCUGAGGGGACAACAUGGUGGAAUAGGUGCUCCGAGAAUGUCCCAACUCUCGCUGGAACUGGCACUAGCCUGAGGGGACAUCUGCACAGCACACAGGGAAAAUCUGGAAGGUUAUCUGCUAAACCUGCAUCUCCAAAGCCAGACCCCAAGCCUAAGAAGGCCCCUGCCAAGAAAGGAGAGAAAGUACCCAAAGGGAGAAAGGGGAAAGCUGAUUCUGACGAGGAUGGGAAUAAUCCUGCAGAA